rnacentral:rRNA from 1 species
AUUGAACGCUGGCGGCAGGCCUAACACAUGCCAGUCGAACGAGUGGCGGCCGGGUGAGUACUGUCUGGGAAACUGCCUGAUGGAGGGGGAUAACUACUGGAAACGGUAGCUAAUACCGCAUACCAUCUGAUGUGCCCAGAUUGGAUUAGCUAGUAGGUGGGGUAAAUGCUCACCUAGGAGACGAUCCCUAGCUGGUCUGAGAGGAUGACCAGCAGAACUGGAAAGGUGACACGGUGCAGACACCUAAGGGAGGCAGAAGUGGGGAAUAGUGGAAAAUGGGAGCAAGCCUGAUGCAGCCAUGCCGCGUGUAUGAAGAAGGCCUUAGGGAUGUAAAGUACGUUCAGCGGGGAGGCGUUACCCGCAGAAGAAGCACCGGCUAACUCCGUGCCAGCAGCCGCGGUAAUUC